rnacentral:ncRNA from 1 species
UCCGACAAGGGCAAACCCGGAGAAAUCCGGAGACGCAAAGCCACGGGCCCUCAUCCUUCAAUACCGCCACUUUCGCCGCGACAGCCCUGGCUGCAGCGGCCGAAUCGGCGAAGGGGGAAAGGGUCGCCGGGCUACCGAAG